AGACGUAGGGGGCAAGCGUUGUCCGGAAUUACUGGGCGUAAAGGGUGCGUAGACGGCACUGCAAGUCUGGAGUGAAAGCCCGGGGCUCAACCCCGGGACUGCUUUGGAAACUGUGGUGCUAGAGUGCAGGAGAGGUAAGUGGAAUUCCUAGUGUAGCGGUGAAAUGCGUAGAUAUUAGGAGGAACACCAGUGGCGAAGGCGACUUACUGGACUGUAACUGACGCUGAAGCACGAAAGCGUGGGGAGC
rnacentral:rRNA from 1 species